GACGAACGCUGGCGGCGUGCCUAAUACAUGCAAGUUGAGCGCUGAAGGUUGGUACUUGUACCGACUGGAUGAGCAGCGAACGGGUGAGUAACGCGUGGGGAAUCUGCCUUUGAGCGGGGGACAACAUUUGGAAACGAAUGCUAAUACCGCAUAAAAACUUUAAACACAAGUUUUAAGUUUGAAAGAUGCAAUUGCAUCACUCAAAGAUGAUCCCGCGUUGUAUUAGCUAGUUGGUGAGGUAAAGGCUCACCAAGGCGAUGAUACAUAGCCGACCUGAGAGGGUGAUCGGCCACAUUGGGACUGAGACACGGCCCAAACUCCUACGGGAGGCAGCAGUAGGGAAUCUUCGGCAAUGGACGAAAGUCUGACCGAGCAACGCCGCGUGAGUGAAGAAGGUUUUCGGGUCGUAAAACUCUGUUGGUAGAGAAGAACGUUGGUAAGAGUGGAAAGCUCAUCAAGUGACGGUAACUACCCAGAAAGGGACGGCUAACUACGUG
rnacentral:rRNA from 1 species